rnacentral:rRNA from 1 species
UACAGAGGUCUCAAGCGUUGUUCGGAUUCAUUGGGCGUAAAGGGUGCGUAGGCGGCGCGGUAAGUCGGGUGUGAAAUCUCGGGGCUUAACUCCGAAACUGCAUUCGAUACUGCCGUGCUUGAGGACUGGAGAGGAGACUGGAAUUUACGGUGUAGCGGUGAAAUUCGUAGAUAUUCGCAAGAACACCAGUGGCGAAGGCGGCUCACUGGCCCGGUACUGACGCUGAGGUGCGAAAGCGUGGGGAGCAAACAGGG